UACGUAGGGUGCAAGCGUUAAUCGGAAUUACUGGGCGUAAAGCGUAUGCAGGCGGAUCAUUAAGUCGGGGGUGAAAUCCCGAGGCUCAACCUCGGAACUGCCUUCGAUACUGAUGAUCUUGAGUCCGGGAGAGGUGAGUGGAACUGCGAGUGUAGAGGUGAAAUUCGUAGAUAUUCGCAAGAACACCAGUGGCGAAGGCGGCUCACUGGCCCGAUACUGACGCUGAGGCACGAAAGCGUGGGGAGCAAACAGG
rnacentral:rRNA from 1 species